rnacentral:lncRNA from 1 species
AUAACUGAAAGCGCACACCCACCUAUGUGGCAAAAUAGUGGGAAGAUUGAUGAGUAGGGGGGACAAGCCUACCAAGCCUAGUGAUAGCUGGUUGUCCAAGAUAGAGUUUUAGUCCAACUUUAAACUUACCCACAGAAUUACUUAAUCUCCUUGUAAGUUUAACUGUUACUUUAAAGAGGGACAGCUCUUUAGAGCGUAGGAAACAACCUUCCUAUAGAAAGUAAAAAAUAUUAUUACCACCAUACUUGGCCCAAAAGCAGCCACCAAUUAAGAAAGAGUUUAAGCUCAACGUCUAACUACCUUAAAUUCUAAGGAAAGAUUACAAAAAGUAAAAGAAACUCAGCAAAUCAUACCCUGACUGUUUACCAAAAACAUCACCUCUAGCAUUAACAGUAUUAGAGGCACUGCCUACCCAGUGACAUAUGUUUAACGGCCACAGUAUCCUGACAGUGCACAGGUAGCAUAAUCACUUGUUCCCUAAAUAGGGACUUGUAUGAAUGGUUACAUGAGGAUUCAGCUGUCUUACUUUUAAUCAGUGAAACUGACCUAUCCGUGAAGAAACAGAUAUAAACAAAUAAGAGAAGAAGACCCUAUGGAGCUUUAAUUCAUUAAUGCAAAUAAAAACUCAAACAAGCCUACAGGCCAACCUAAAUUAAGACUGCACUAGCCUAAGUGAGUUAAAACACACUGACCCAAUGAUUCGAUCAACAGAAUAAGUUACCCUAGGGAUAACAGCUCAAUCCUAUUCUAGAGUUCAUAUCGACAAUAGGGUUUACGACCUCGAUGUUGGAUCAGGACAUCCAAAUGGUGUAGCCACUAUUAAGGGUUUGUCUGUUCAAAGAUUAAAGUCCUAUGUGAUCUGAGUUCAGACUAGAGUAAUCCAGGCCGGUUUCUAUCUAUUUAACAUUUCUCUUAGUAUGAAAGGACAAGAGACAUAGGCCCACUUCAUAAAGUGCCCUCACUCCAUAGAUGAUGCUCUCUCAUUCUAACAAAUCAUCACACACACUAUUCAAGAACAA